rnacentral:rRNA from 1 species
UGGGGAAUAUUGCACAAUGGAGGGAACUCUGAUGCAGCGACGCCGCGUGAGUGAUGAAGGAAUUCGUUUCAUAAAACUCUGUUCUAUGGGAAGAAAAGGACUGUACCAUAGGAGAAAGCUCCGGCUAAAUACGUGCCAGCAGCCGCGGUAAUACGUAUGGAGCGAGCGUUGUCCGGAAUUAUUGGGCGUAAAGGGUGCGCAGGCGGCUUUACAAGUUGGAUGUGAAAUAUUGUGGCUCAACCACAAACGUGCAUCCAAAACUGCAAAGCUUGAGUUAAGGAGAGGUAAGUGGAAUUCCUGGUGUAGCGGUGGAAUGCGUAGAUAUCAGGAGGAAUACCGGUGGCGAAGGCGACUUACUGGACUUAAACUGACGCUCAGGCACGAAAGCGUGGGGAGCAAACAGG